rnacentral:rRNA from 1 species
GGGAGGCAAUGAAGUGUGGACGCCAGUCUGCACGGAGCCAUCCUUGAAAUACCACCCUUUAACGUUUGAUGUUCUAACCCGGGUCCAUAAUCUGGAUCGGGGACCGUGUCUGGUGGGUAGUUUGACUGGGGCGGUCUCCUCCCAAAGAGUAACGGAGGAGCACGAAGGUUGGCUAAGCAUGGUCGGACAUCAUGCGGUUAGUGCAAAGGCAUAAGCCAGCUUGACUGCGAGAGUGACGGCUCGAGCAGGUACGAAAGUAGGUCUUAGUGAUCCGGUGGUUCUGAAUGGAAGGGCCAUCGCUCAACGGAUAAAAGGUACUCCGGGGAUAACAGGCUGAUACCGCCCAAGAGUUCAUAUCGACGGCGGUGUUUGGCACCUCGAUGUCGGCUCAUCACAUCCUGGGGCUGAAGUAGGUCCCAAGGGUAUGGCUGUUCGCCAUUUAAAGUGGUACGCGAGCUGGGUUUAGAACGUCGUGAGACAGUUCGGUCCCUAUCUGCCGUGGGCGCUGGAAGAUUGAGAGGGGUUGCUCCUAGUACGAGAGGACCGGAGUGAACGCACCACUGGUGUACGGGUUGUGAUGCCAAUUGCAUUGCCCGGUAGCUAAGUGCGGAAGAGAUAACCGCUGAAAGCAUCUAAGCGGGAAACUUGC